rnacentral:rRNA from 1 species
UGGGGAAUUUUGGACAAUGGGCGCAAGCCUGAUCCAGCCAUGCCGCGUGCGGGAAGAAGGCCUUCGGGUUGUAAACCGCUUUUGUCAGGGAAGAAAUCUUCUGAGUUAAUACCUCGGGAGGAUGACGGUACCUGAAGAAUAAGCACCGGCUAACUACGUGCCAGCAGCCGCGGUAAUACGUAGGGUGCAAGCGUUAAUCGGAAUUACUGGGCGUAAAGCGUGCGCAGGCGGUUUUGUAAGACAGAGGUGAAAUCCCCGGGCUCAACCUGGGAACUGCCUUUGUGACUGCAAGGCUUGAGUGCGGCAGAGGGGGAUGGAAUUCCGCGUGUAGCAGUGAAAUGCGUAGAUAUGCGGAGGAACACCGAUGGCGAAGGCAAUCCCCUGGGCCUGCACUGACGCUCAUGCACGAAAGCGUGGGGAGCAAACAGGAUUAGAUACCCCUGGUAGUCCACGCCCUAAACGAUGUCAACUGGUUGUUGGGAAGGUUCCUUUCUCAGUAACGUAGCUAACGCGUGAAGUUGACCGCCUGGGGAGUACGGCCGCAAGGUUGAAACUCAAAUGAAUUGAC